rnacentral:tRNA from 1 species
GGAAGAGUGGGUGAGAGGCUUAAACCAUUCGGUUGCUAACUGAACGAACGGGGAAACUUGUUCCAAGAGUUCGAAUCUCUUCUCUUCCGCCA